CUUAUAUGACGUCAACAAUGACGGCUUCAUCACUGAGGACGAGAUGCGACUGGUGGUGAGCGCCAUCUACCGACUGAUCGACACGACGCAGGCCGACCACGUCUCUCCCGACGAGAGAGGACAGGAUCUGUUCUCGAGGAUCGACACAAACCAUGAUGGUAUUAUAACCCUGGAAGAAUUUACUACUUAUUGCUCAAAGGAUGUCACGAUUCUGUCGGGGCUCAACAUGUACAACUUGAUGUGGGAGACAUGAAUUCCCAAAAUAUCACGUCAUGAAGACUGGCACCCAUCGUCUGGACGUCAGUAUGACGUGUAUCGAACGUCAGUGUAACGUCAGGUGACGUGCAGUUCAAGUUUCUUGAGCAUUUUCUCCGCGGUCGUUAGACGUUUGUGGAACAUUGACGUUAGGUAGAACUUCAAUGCUUGUCUUCAGCAGGCAACAUCACAGUUUAAUGCUGUAGGGGAUGGUCUGGAUGGAUGUCAGUUGGCACUUUUCGCUGCAGUUACGCGUGGACUGGACGUCAGUUAGACGUCAGGUGAGCUUGAGCUGGAUGCCAAUCAUGGAGUUAGUUUUACGUGAGCUGGACGUGAGCCUCAUGCGGUUUUAUGUACGUGAUAAUGGGAUAAACGUGAGAUGGACGUGAGUUGCAUACGUGAGAGAUAACACAUCAAGUGAAUGUAAGAAUGUCACUCUAGACGAUCCACAAAGGGCAAGUUGAGGAACGAAUCUCAACAUUUCACUAAGGCUGAUCGGCUCCGCGGGUUAAUGCUGCUUUGUGUGAGUCUGCGACUGAGCGAGUCAACUGUUUACCGAUUCUUUAGGACGUCAAUGCCAGUAAUCGGCCUACGGCCAGAGCUGGCUAAAUCCAUCACCUGCAUAAUGUUUGAGUCCCGUUUAUCCAGGAAUUGUUUUAAGUCUUUACAUACGACCGGCGCAAGUGACCGCGCUAGUUAUACAUAGUGGCGUUGAUGCAGUCGAUGCUGCACGCUACCGUGCGACUCAAUUAGUGAUGAAAAGCAGCCGAGUUGGUCGACAUUUCGAAAUGAGUGAUUAUUUCAUGUGUGAAAUAAAAGUUCAUAAAAUGUUUCAAAAUCGCAUGCAGUGAUAAGUAAAAUAUACGUAUUCGUAAC